AUGAUGCCCAGCUUGCUGGGUGGAUUAGUGGCGAACGGGUGAGUAAUACGUGAGUAACCUGCCCUUGACUCUGGGAUAAGCCUGGGAAACUGGGUCUAAUACUGGAUACUACUUCCUGCCGCAUGGUGGGUGGUGGAAAGGGUUUUACUGGUUUUGGAUGGGCUCACGGCCUAUCAGCUUGUUGGUGGGGUAAUGGCUCACCAAGGCGACGACGGGUAGCCGGCCUGAGAGGGUGACCGGCCACACUGGGACUGAGACACGGCCCAGACUCCUACGGGAGGCAGCAGUGGGGAAUAUUGCACAAUGGGCGGAAGCCUGAUGCAGCGACGCCGCGUGAGGGAUGACGGCCUUCGGGUUGUAAACCUCUUUCAGUAGGGAAGAAGCGAGAGUGACGGUACCUGCAGAAGAAGCGCCGGCUAACUACGUGCCAGCAGCCGCGGUAAUACGUAGGGCGCAAGCGUUGUCCGGAAUUAUUGGGCGUAAAGAGCUCGUAGGCGGUUUGUCGCGUCUGCUGUGAAAGCCCGGGGCUCAACCCCGGGUCUGCAGUGGGUACGGGCAGACUAGAGUGCAGUAGGGGAGACUGGAAUUCCUGGUGUAGCGGUGAAAUGCGCAGAUAUCAGGAGGAACACCGAUGGCGAAGGCAGGUCUCUGGGCUGUUACUGACGCUGAGGAGCGAAAGCAUGGGGAGCGAACAGGAUUAGAUACCCUGGUAGUCCAUGCCGUAAACGUUGGGCACUAGGUGUGGGGGACAUUCCACGUUUUCCGCGCCGUAGCUAACGCAUUAAGUGCCCCGCCUGGGGAGUACGGCCGCAAGGCUAAAACUCAAAGGAAUUGACGGGGGCCCGCACAAGCGGCGGAGCAUGCGGAUUAAUUCGAUGCAACGCGAAGAACCUUACCAAGGCUUGACAUUCACCGGACCGCCCCAGAGAUGGGGUUUCCCUUCGGGGCUGGUGGACAGGUGGUGCAUGGUUGUCGUCAGCUCGUGUCGUGAGAUGUUGGGUUAAGUCCCGCAACGAGCGCAACCCUCGUUCUAUGUUGCCAGCACGUGAUGGUGGGGACUCAUAGGAGACUGCCGGGGUCAACUCGGAGGAAGGUGGGGAUGACGUCAAAUCAUCAUGCCCCUUAUGUCUUGGGCUUCACGCAUGCUACAAUGGCCGGUACAAAGGGUUGCGAUACUGUGAGGUGGAGCUAAUCCCAAAAAGCCGGUCUCAGUUCGGAUUGAGGUCUGCAACUCGACCUCAUGAAGUCGGAGUCGCUAGUAAUCGCAGAUCAGCAACGCUGCGGUGAAUACGUUCCCGGGCCUUGUACACACCGCCCGUCAAGUCACGAAAGUUGGUAACACCCGAAGCCGGUGGCC
rnacentral:rRNA from 1 species